AUAUGCCUACAAACAAAAUUAACAUUUGUGAGAACUUAUAUAACAGUUAUACGUUGACAUUAAUAGUUCAUGCAAAAUCCAUAAAAUAUAAAACACAAAAUUAAAUAGUAAAACAGGGGCACAUAUUAGUAAAUUGAUCAAGUUUUUGGUAAAAAUAGCAAAUAAUCCUAAACACUAUCUAAUUCGUUCUUUCUCCAAGUAAAUAGCAAUGCACUUCAUUGCUACAAUAUUUUCAUAUGAUAGUUAAAUCUCCUAGAACUCAAACUGGUCAACUUCAGUUUUUAUACACUUUCUGAUAUUUUUCCUAGGCAUAUGAUUAGCACAAACUACUAAAAAAAGAAAUUGGGCCAUAAAGUUAAUUACGAAGUGGAAUAGCUAACCGUACAGUUUAAGGUAAAUUUUAGUAAAUAAUACAAUAAAUGUCUUGAUAAUUGCCGGAAAGCCGAGACACACGAUCGCCAAUUAUUUUGAUUUUAACAAUAAAUACUGGUACGACCCGUUGUUUUGCCAAACGUAAUGAAGAACAGCGCGAGUGAAAAAGAAAGAGAUUGACGAAAAGAAACAUAUCGGUUAGUUAAACAAUGUUAAUGCAACAAUGAAAUGUUGAUUUUUUAUUUUUGUUGAAUAGAACUUUCAUCGGUGUAAUUCUGAAGUUUUUCUGAUUAAAAUAAGGCCAAACACGAUAUAUUUAUUUAUUGCUUAUUUAAUAAAAUUAACUUUUUUUUUGCUUGUUAAGUAUGUAUGUGAUUUAAGAUGUAUCGUAUUUCAUCUUACUAUAAUUAGAAAAGUAUCACAAAUACAUUAGGAAAAGUUUAAUUUAAAAAAAGUUAAAGAUAAAAAAUUUUCAUUAUUGAAUUAGUAUUGUCUCAUUAACAUUUGAAUUCGGAUCAAAUUAUACUACUUAGCCGUUGAGCUUUGUAAUAUGUCAAAGGGAACACCAAGACUCCUUGAGCGGAAUUCCCCGCAAUAUUGGGGAUGAAGACGUUGAAAUUAGAAGGAACAUCGUGUCCGGCAAGUAUCGAGACAUUCCAUCCUGUAUCUUUGCACACAGCAUAUGAGAGAAUAUGAUAAUUAUAAGUUUGAUAUAACACUAUUAUCAGUGUCAAUAAUUUGAAGUACAAAAUACCGUUCACCAGAAGCUCAUUUACGAAGCCGCUAAGAGGACGUAUUCAACUACCUACAAUAAGGUGACCUUCAGUUGACCUUGAACCUCAGAACGAAACGAAAAUUUGUGAAGAAUAACUUACUUUCAAUGA